rnacentral:rRNA from 1 species
GAUUAGUGGCGAACGGGUGAGUAACACGUGAGUAACCUGCCCUUGACUCUGGGAUAAGCGCUGGAAACGGCGUCUAAUACCGGAUACGAGCUUCAGCCGCAUGGCUAGGAGUUGGAAAGAAUUUUGGUCAAGGAUGGACUCGCGGCCUAUCAGCUAGUUGGUGAGGUAAUGGCUCACCAAGGCGACGACGGGUAGCCGGCCUGAGAGGGUGACCGGCCACACUGGGACUGAGACACGGCCCAGACUCCUACGGGAGGCAGCAGUGGGGAAUAUUGCACAAUGGGCGCAAGCCUGAUGCAGCAACGCCGCGUGAGGGAUGACGGCCUUCGGGUUGUAAACCUCUUUUAGUAGGGAAGAAGCGAAAGUGACGGUACCUGCAGAAAAAGCACCGGCUAACUACGUGCCAGCAGCCGCGGUAAUACGUAGGGUGCAAGCGUUGUCCGGAAUUAUUGGGCGUAAAGAGCUCGUAGGCGGUUUGUCGCGUCUGCUGUGAAAUCUGGGGGCUCAACCCCCAGCCUGCAGUGGGUACGGGCAGACUAGAGUGCGGUAGGGGAGAUUGGAAUUCCUGGUGUAGCGGUGGAAUGCGCAGAUAUCAGGAGGAACACCGAUGGCGAAGGCAGAUCUCUGGGCCGUAACUGACGCUGAGGAGCGAAAGCGUGGGGAGCGAACAGGAUUAGAUACCCUGGUAGUCCACGCCGUAAACGUUGGGAACUAGAUGUGGGGACCAUUCCACGGUCUCCGUGUCGCAGCUAACGCAUUAAGUUCCCCGCCUGGGGAGUACGCCGCAAGGCUAAACUCAAAGGAUUGACGG